UGAUACUAAGCCAUGCGAGUCAUUGUAGCAAUACAAGGCAUACGGCUCAGUAACGCGUAGUCAACCUAACCUAAGGACGGGAAUAACCUCGGGAAACUGAGAAUAAUGCCCGAUAGAACAUUAUGCCUGGAAUGGUUUAUGUUCCAAAUGAUUUAUCGCCGUAGGAUGGGACUGCGGCCUAUCAGUUUGUUGGUGAGGUAAUGGCCCACCAAGACUAUUACAGGUACGGGCUCUGAGAGGAGUAGCCCGGAGAUGGGUACUGAGACACGGACCCAGGCCCUAUGGGGCGCAGCAGGCGAGAAAACUUUGCAAUGUGCGAAAGCACGACAAGGUUAAUCCGAGUGGUUUCUGCUAAAGGAACCUUUUGUCAGUCCUAGAAACACUGAUGAAUAAGGGGUGGGCAAGUUCUGGUGUCAGCCGCCGCGGUAAAACCAGCACCUCAAGUGGUCAGGAUGAUUAUUGGGCCUAAAGCAUCCGUAGCCGGCUCUGUAAGUUUUCGGUUAAAUCUGUACGCUCAACGUACAGGCUGCCGGGAAUACUGCAAAGCUAGGGAGUGGGAGAGGUAGACGGUACUCGGUAGGAAGGGGUAAAAUCCUUUGAUCUAUUGAUGACCACCUGUGGCGAAGGCGGUCUACCAGAACACGUCCGACGGUGAGGGAUGAAAGCUGGGGGAGCAAACCGGAUUAGAUACCCGGGUAGUCCCAGCUGUAAACCAUGCAAACUCAGUGAUGCAUUGGCUUGUGGCCAAUGCAGUGCUGCAGGGAAGCCGUUAAGUUUGCCGCCUGGGAAGUACGUACGCAAGUAUGAAACUUAAAGGAAUUGGCGGGGGAGCACCACAAGGGGUGAAGCCUGCG
rnacentral:rRNA from 1 species